rnacentral:rRNA from 1 species
CAGCAAUGCCGCGUGUGUGAAGAAGGCCUGCGGGUUGUAAAGCACUUUUAUCAGGAAAGAAACAGCCUGGGGUUAAUACCCCCGGGCCUUGACGGUACCUGAGGAAUAAGCACCGGCUAACUCCGUGCCAGCAGCCGCGGUAAUACGGAGGGUGCAAGCGUUAAUCGGAAUUACUGGGCGUAAAGCGAGUGUAGGCGGCUACGUAAGUCGGUUGUGAAAGCCCCGGGCUUAACCUGGGAAUUGCGUUCGAUACUGCGUGGCUAGAGUCUGAUAGAGGGAAGUGGAAUUCCAGGUGUAGCGGUGAAAUGCGUAGAUAUCUGGAGGAACAUCAGUGGCGAAGGCGGCUUCCUGGAUCAAGACUGACGCUCAGGCUCGAAAGCGUGGGUGGCAAACAGGAUUAGAUACCCUGGUAGUCCACGCCCUAAACGAUGUCAACUAGACGUUGGGUUCAUUAAAGAACUUAGUGUCGAAGCUAACGCGUUAAGUUGACCGCCUGGGGAGUACGGCCGCAAGGUUG